GCCAUUCCUUUCCACUUGUAAUCAAACAUGCACACUGCUACUUUAUAAAUUAACAACACUCUAUUUUUCACCAAAAUAUCAGUCUCCGUAAAGACCGUCAAAAAUUGCCAGUGCCGACUAUAUUUCAAGUCGUCACGGCGGGGUAUUGGGUAAAGUUUUCAAUUAGCAAUAAUCGCGCCUCGGAUAAACCUCAUAGGCUACGAUACUGCCACUGCGCAAAGCUGACGUGUCUCCGUCCAGAGAGCGGAGGUGACCACACAACACACCAGUUUCCUCGAUGUGCUGUGACAAGAAAACAGAGUCAGAGAUCCACAAGGGUCAGCGUCUCCCCAGCGGCAAGCUUGACAUACAUCUGAGCGCUGUAAUGUUAAGUGAACCAUAAUAUUUCAUUAAAUAGAGACAUGAAAGUGUCCUGGGAAGACCUACCUUCAAAAACAUCCACCAUGUUAAAAAAGGCCAGAGACAGCGAAGAUUUUCCACUGCCCGUUCUACCACAGAUGCCCACCUGGGACAGAAAGAAUAAGACAUCCACCACCUCUGAAAUCCAUUAAAACUCAACUUUACUCACAGUUCUGACCUCCAGCCACCGGUUGGCAGCAGAGAGAAACAGG